rnacentral:rRNA from 1 species
AGGGCGCCGUGCCCUAAAUACAUGCAAGUCGAGCGGACAAGAUGGGAGCUUGCUCCCUGAUGUUAGCGGCGGACGGGUGAGUAACACGUGGGUAACCUGCCUGUAAGACUGGGAUAACUCCGGGAAACCGGGGCUAAUACCGGAUGGUUGUUUGAACCGCAUGGUUCAAACAUAAAAGGUGGCUUCGGCUACCACUUACAGAUGGACCCGCGGCGCAUUAGCUAGUUGGUGAGGUAAUGGCUCACCAAGGCAACGAUGCGUAGCCGACCUGAGAGGGUGAUCGGCCACACUGGGACUGAGACACGGCCCAGACUCCUACGGGAGGCAGCAGUAGGGAAUCUUCCGCAAUGGACGAAAGUCUGACGGAGCAACGCCGCGUGAGUGAUGAAGGUUUUCGGAUCGUAAAGCUCUGUUGUUAGGGAAGAACAAGUACCGUUCGAAUAGGGCGGUACCUUGACGGUACCUAACCAGAAAGCCACGGCUAACUACGUGCCAGCAGCCGCGGUAAUACGUAGGUGGCAAGCGUUGUCCGGAAUUAUUGGGCGUAAAGGGCUCGCAGGCGGUUUCUUAAGUCUGAUGUGAAAGCCCCCGGCUCAACCGGGGAGGGUCAUUGGAAACUGGGGAACUUGAGUGCAGAAGAGGAGAGUGGAAUUCCACGUGUAGCGGUGAAAUGCGUAGAGAUGUGGAGGAACACCAGUGGCGAAGGCGACUCUCUGGUCUGUAACUGACGCUGAGGAGCGAAAGCGUGGGGAGCGAACAGGAUUAGAUACCCUGGUAGUCCACGCCGUAAACGAUGAGUGCUAAGUGUUAGGGGGUUUCCGCCCCUUAGUGCUGCAGCUAACGCAUUAAGCACUCCGCCUGGGGAGUACGGUCGCAAGACUGAAACUCAAAGGAUUUGACGGGGGCCCGCACAAGCGGUGGGAGCAUGUGGUUUAAUUCGAAGCAACGCGAAGAACCUUACCAGGUCUUGACAUCCUCUGACAUCCUAGAGAUAGGACGUCCCCUUCGGGGGCAGAGUGACAGGUGGUGCAUGGCUGUCGUCAGCUUCGUGUCGUGAAGAAUGUUGGGUUAAGUCCCGCAACGGAGCGCAACCUUUGAAUU